rnacentral:lncRNA from 1 species
UUGUACAACGCCCUUUGAUAGAUAUUUGUUCUUGAGCUUCUUCGUUUUUGCACCAAAAGACAAGCAGGAUGUCUUGCAGCUGCGGAUCAAGCUGCAACUGCGGCUCAAGCUGCAAGUGCGGGUAAGCUAGCUAGUCAUCACUCUCUUUACCUGGCUAAUCUCUUGUUUACUUAGUUUCUUUUCCUUUGAUUGAAUGAAUUCAAAUCAAAAAGUAUAUAGUUCGUUUGCUGUUCGUUUGUAGCUACUAUAUGUCUCUUCACAACAAACAUGGAAAACAUACAUCUGAACCUGUCCGGCUGAAGAAUAAUUAUUGAACUUCUCUACAACUAGUAUUAUAAGUUUGUUUGUUAAUUUUGGGUCCGUCCGUUGACUACCUGCAGCAAGAAGUACCCCGACCUGGAGGAGAAGAGCACCGCGGCGCAGGCCACCGUCGUCCUGGGUGUCGCCCCGGAGAAGACAGCUGCUGCCGAGUUCGAGGCCGCGGCGGAGUCCGGCGCCGAGACCUCCCACGGCUGCAGCUGCGGUGACAGCUGCAAGUGCAACCCCUGCAACUGCUGAUCGACCGACGACCACACAUGGGGAACGAAGACCGACGAUAUGCAUGCUGCUGCUUAUUUGAUGGUGAUAUCGAUCUUGUGCCGGCGACGUACGGUACUACUAGCUACUACACUACAUGUAGUGCUCUGCAAUUGUGUUAUUGUGUGUGACGUAUGUAACUGAUGGUUGAACAAUAAGGACGAGCUAGCUAUCUGCUAUGUAUUUCGAUCUGGCUCGCCAGCAUGCAUAUAUAUGCGAUCUAUAUAUCUGCCCUUGUGUGCCUGAUCGAGAGAGAGAGUAUACCUCUUUUGCUUAUUGGCCUUGGCGUCAGUCUUGUGCUCUUGCAUUUAAUUAUGUGCAUGUGUGUGUACUGUGUAUCCAUCUUGUGCUCAUACAUCGAUCUCUAUGUGUCUCUGUACGUAAUGACGAUAUGAUUUCGUCCAGGGUGAUUUAUAUAUAAAACUGGUAUGGUUUAUUUGCCUGAGUAUCUUCACCGUCAUCACAAGGAUCAAAAUAACAGAUUCGUUAUGUGACUGGAGAACAAGAAUAUUUCGCAGAAGCCACCAAAAUUCACUUCUUUUUCUUCAAAAUCUUUAGCGUGUGCGGUCUGGACUUGGUAGGAAAAACGUGUACUUCAUACCAUGCAUCCUAUAUACGAAUAUAAAUCCAGUAUAUAUCUUGGAGAUAGAGAUGUUAGGUAUGGCCAAUUCCAUUCACACACAAUAUUCUCUCGAUCGGUUGUUAGGUAUGGAGUAAAAGGUGCUAUGUUUAGUUACACUAUGGAAGUUGAUGUUUGAGAGCAUAGAUUAGAUAUAUAUAAGACGGAAGUAACUCUCACCUAUCGAGACUCGCAGAAAUUCUAUUUAUCUUCCGGCAAAUUUUUAUUUCUGCUUUCUUCCACUUUUUGUGCGGUGUUGAUGGUUUCAAGAUUCGUGCUGUCACACAACAGCUGGGGUAACCAGCUAAACAGUGAAGCACAGAAGCAAAGCGUCGUCUGGGCGCAGCCAGAACCACUCAGCACAACGCAACUACUCUCCAAAGAAAAGCUCAAAACGAACACCAAAAGUACCAUAAACACCACGUGCAGCAAGCUAAACAACAAAAGCUACACUAGACUAAAGCAGAACACGUCUCCAGAACAGCCAAAUCUUCAUCUUCUGCACCUUAUCAUCCAAAAAUCUAACGAUAUCUUGAUCCUUCAAAAGUAUGCGCCAUUCUACAUGAGAAUGCAAAUUUUGUGAAAAACUUCAUUAGUGAUUUCAGAAACUUCUUUUCAGUCCCCAUCUUAUCCCCAACAUUCCAAAGACUCCAUAAGAUCACAAAAAAACAUAAACGGUUUGAUAUGAUGGUCUCUAACCCCUAAUUUGAUCCAAUGACAAAAAAAAACAUCAUGCAUAGAAACUGGACACCAAUUGCACCCCAGAGCUUCUUUAAAGCAAAACCACACCAUUCUAGAUAUAUGGCAAUUGAAGAAUAUAUGGUCAAAAGUCUCAUCCACCCUGCAUAAUAUACACCUUUUAUUUCCUUGUCAUUCUUUUUUCUUCAGAGUGACCCCUGUCUGAAGCCUAUCCUAUAUAGCCAUCCAGGCAAAAACUUUGCUCUUAUUUGGUAACCGACUACCCCAUAACUUUACCUUUCUUUUAUUGAUAAAUCCUCUAAAAGUUAGUCUUCUAUGCAUAGAACGAGUUGUGUACCUACCAGACUUGUUGUCAAGAAUCCACUCAAAAUGAUCACUCAAAAUGGACAUCCACUGUGCCUCCGCGCUUGCUCGCUCCCUCCAUUCCCCUCCCAUGCCUGCUCCUGGAACCCCACACCCUCUCCCAUCGACCCCACACCCACGGCGAGCUCCUCCCUCCCUCUCCUCUAGUAGCGGCAGUGGUGGGUUCCAGCAAGGUAUAGGCCUCCUCCUCUUUCUCCUCCUCCUAGAUUUAUGAUCAACGGCGGUAGUGGCUAGGGUUCUAGCGAGCUCUCCCCCUCUUUUCUUCUCCAACUCUAGCAGGUUUAGAAGGGCUCAGCCGGGAGAGGUAGGUAGGCUAGGUGGUGGGAAUGGUGGUUAGGCGGCUUAGGGGAGCUGACAAUGGUAGGUACGGUCGGGCCAGGUCACAGUGAGAGAGGCUCGUCGGAGUUGGAGAUGAUAAUGGCCGAGCUCGCCGGAGUUGGAGGAGAUGGCUGAUUGGGAGGGGGGGUAGGGCAAAGGAAGAAGGUCGCGCGGGCACGGUAGUCUCCACAAAGCUCCGGUGAGAACCUACCGCACCAUGGUGGUGUGCGGUGGGGCAGUGGCCCAUGAUGGAGGGCUUGGGAGGGGGACACCGGGCACAUGAAAGAACGACGAUGUGGAGGACGCUGGAGAUGGGGAGGGCGGCGUCCGGAAACAUAUGCAUGGAUCAGGAAUGCUCGUGCAUGAUGAAUAAUAGGUCCAGUGAUGACGCCUGAUAAAAAAAACGAACAAUUUUGCUCCAUACCGACUCAAACAGGAGCGGGCUGUAACUCAGAAGAUGCUGUAUAAAAAGAAACUGGGGCAAUUUCACCGAAUCCCAUAUUUGCUACUGUCAAAGACACGUGGGGUGGCACAUAUGUCAGUGAGACUUGGAUGGCAAAUAAAUCUAGGAUUAAAAGAAUUCAGUGAUGAAUAUCUAAUUACCCCUUUCCUACUGUCGUCAGUGCCACUAACCAAGACACGAAGUCAACUAGCCUAAAAACUGCGAUGCUUAAUCCAUGUUACAACACUAUGUAUUAUGUAUAUGACCAUAUAGUAAACUGACAAGUAAAGCUAAGCUGCAUCUCCCAUGUACUCUGCUGUUACAGCGAAACUAUGAUAGGAAGCUAUGGCAUCAUCGCAGCUCACUCCCUGACAAGUAAAUUAUUAUUAAGCUGCAUCGCCCAUGUAUGUCAUCAACAUCCAAUGAUUGCAACUCCCUUCCACCCAAGAAACUAAAAAUAGCAGCAAGAACCAGAGCAUCAAUGACACUUUGCUUUGCCACAUUUCAUAUCUCUGAGAAAAGAAACCAUGUUCUCUGCACUAUACCUUAACUUCAGACCUUUGACACUGCAAUGGCAAAACACAUGUCAGAGAGUUAAAAGAUCAGCUCAACAUGGUUAGUAUUGCAUAACAAGAUCAACAGGGAACACAGCAAAUGUUCAAAGUAAAUUGGUUCAUGUAAAAAUAAAUAAUUUCAGAACUCAGGCAAAAACAUCUUGUUCAGGGGAAAUGUAGCACAAGAAUAAGACAACAAGUACCUGCUAAUUCUGUACAAACUAGAGAAGAAGAGGUUGCUUUCGACUAGAACUGAACUUCACAUGUUGCCUUAUUGUGCCCUGUUUGUUUGCACCUGCUACAGAGUCGUACGAGAGUACUUAUCUUGUUGGAGUUAGACCGCUUCCUUCUUGGUUUAUCUGAUGAGCGCUGCUUGGGAGGCAGUGGGAGUAGAUUCGCACCAGCACUAAAAUCAACACUAUCCAUGUCAGGUAUUGGGAAGAUUAUUCCUGAGUAUGUCAGAUGGUAGCUUUCUAUUCUAAAGAACUUUGGGCAGUAGUCAUAUAAAUUGCGACCAAGCCUGUUGAACACAGCAAUGGCAUGCAUGCAGGGGAGGCCAGAGAGCUGCCACCGCCGGCAUGUGCAUUCCCAAUUCCCAAUAUUAACUACAAAAAUUGCAUUGCCCCUCACUUCAAACACAGUCUCAGAAGAACACAGAACAGUCAUUUUGCCAGCCUUCAGCAUCUCAUCCUGCACUUUGUAUUCCAUAGUUGGUGUUAAAGGCCCUUCCCACGCCUUGCAAGCUUCAAGCCUUGAUUCUAUUAUUUCCUUAAUCUUCAUUCUCAGUGAGUCUACCAUCAGCACUAUGGAACUCUCCUUCUUGGUUGGUAUCCAGUUAUCAAAAGCAUCAGCAAUGUUCAAGGAGAAAUUAUCAUACCGGCAGCCUCGGAAAAUGGCAUCUGACCAAUGCUCUGGCUUGCUCGCUAUUAUCCAGUCAGCAGCUUCACUGGAUAUAUUCCUUAUGCUCUCGAUGGAUGCAUUAAAAUCCUCGAUGUUGCACGCUUGGGCUGCACGAGUGAAAUCCUCAACCAUCCCCUCCCUUAUUUGUAGUGACCAUGGUCCCUUCCUCAGCUCUCCUUUAAAUUCCUCAAUGAUAUGAUGCAAACAGAAAGCAUGUUUACCAUCCUCAAACACGUGAGAAACAGCAGCAUCCAGACCCAUUUGUCCAUUGGACAAGAAUGUCAUGCCAUUGCAAGGGUAGUUGUGAGUUUGGAGGGCUAUUUUCAGAUGCAUUAAGAACCAACCCCAGCUAUCAUAAUUUUCAUCUUCAACCACAUUAAAUGCUAACGGAAAGACACCAUCGUCUGCAUCAAUGGCAGCAGCCACAAGCAACUUGUAAUCAUUCGUUGCUUUCAGUGGGACUUUGUCCAGAAAUAAGAGGGGCCUGCACCCAUUUACAAAGCCAUGCAAACAAGCAUGGAAUGCAACAAAAAAGCGGCGGUAUUUCAUAUCCACCACUGGAGACAACACACUUAUACUUCCUGGGUUGGUCUCCUCAAGCCUCUGACAAUACCAGGGUAACUGAUCGCGAGUCUCCCUGAUAGCAUGAUAAAUCUCUUUCUCUGCUACUUCUUUGCCUCGCCAAACCUGUGAAUAUGUUAGUGUAACUCCGUAUUCUUCAAACAAUUCCUUUACAAGUUCCUUUGGCUUAAACUUUGGGUUAUCAUGCAGCUUCUCCUUAAUGAUAGUAGUCAACCACUGUCUUGUUGCUCGACGCUGACCCUCUCCACUUCCUCCGCUACAAGUAUGUUCAUCUGUCAUUCUCUUGAUAACAAAUUUCUUGUUACGAGAUGAUUCAGACGCAUGCAACCUCCAGGUGCAGCCUCCUUCUGCAGCACAUUUUACAGUGACGCGACUGGUUUCAUUUUUUAUGAAUCGGUACACAAAUCCUUUCCCAAUAGCAUACUUGCACAACUGAGCACGGAAAUCUUUCACAUUAUCAAAUUCUUGACCAACUCCUUUGAUAAUGUCAUCCCACAAUGCAAUAGGAUUGUUAGGUCCCUGAGGCUCAUGCAUGAUCUCAGAACCAACAUAUGGAAUGAAUGCAUCAUCAAACAGACUAACUGCUUCCCUGAAAAAAAAAUCAUACAAAAUUGACAAAAAUCUCUCAAAAAAAGUAAUCCUUUUUAGCAAACAAUAUGGAAAGAGAUAUGAAUGUGUAACAAGUUACCUGGGGAUAUUAUCAACAAGAGCAAGCUUUUGCUGAUCAAGAAUAUCUGAUGUGAAGGAAGCGCCUCCAGCUGUGGUGGUAAAUGCGAUGUCAUUCCCAAAUUCCAACUGAAAAACCCUAGUUUUGAUCAAGAUGAAAACGGUAACUGGGAGUGGACAAUGUAGUAAAAAAAAUACCAUUGACUUAUGAACAAAGUAAAUAAUAGUACUGCAAUAGUGUAAUAGGAUAUAGUAACAGAACUGCAAAAUAGACAUUCAAGAUGAACUAGACCACAUGUCCACUGGGGACUUUAUUUGAU